UUUGUGUUUAUGCUAGUCCUUUUUUAGAUUUAGAGUAGAGAACAUGCAAAUCAAGUUUAAAAGUCACUGCCAGCUACAGUGUGCACGAGGCUACUGCAGGUUUCUUGGCUUAUGAAGAGCAGGAAGGGUUGUGGUUCCUGUGGCCUGCAGGUGGCAGCAUAUAGAUGAAUCACCAAUUUGAAGAGGCCUCAUAUUCAAAACAGCAGAGCUCCUGCUGCAUAUCCACUGUGUCAUGUCAACGUCAUCGGUUAUGUCAUAAAGUUAUAGGAUUUAGAAACACACAGGCUUAAAAAAUGUAAUCUUAAGGAACUUUAUGGUUUGUUUCCACAUACUUUAAUGGCUUGAUUAUGCAGGCCAUGCCUCGGUGUCAUGCUGGGCCCUAUAAACAUCCUGCACCUUCAAAGUGAAUCAGCAGCAAACCAGCAUCUUUGUAUGACACGACAUGAGUGUGGUGCAGUGAUAUUUAAUCCUGGAAAUGAUUUUGAUUUCUUAAUUACCUUAAAUGUGUCACACAACCCAUCCUUGCACCCCUCUUGCCUUCCUCCCUCCUUCCUACCCUCUCUCACGUGCACGCGCCUCUUUCUCCUCAGCAGCAUCACCACAGCCACCAGGUCACCAUGGUAACCACUGAGAGACACACGUUGAGGGCUGCUCGCAUGGCGGGGAUGGAGACGUUCACCGAUGGAAGCACUGGUAAAUUUUUCAAAUGCACAAAAAAAAGAAGAAAACAACAAGAAAAUGUUCCUGGGGGGCGGGCUGUUGGGUGUUUGGGGCUCAGAUAUGCAUCCUGCAGACUGAACUCCUUUUCCUCCAUGUGUCUUUUCACCUUUCCUCUCCUCGGCUGUAACACACACUCCCCUUCUUCCUGCUCACAUCACAAUCCUUUUCUGUUCAGUGUCAAUUCCAAAAAGCGGACGGUUUUACUCCACUUGCUGGGGAGGCAGGCUCUCCCCUCGGCGGCGUCCUGGGGAAAAGGCAGCGCAGAGAGGGGAGAGGGGUAGAGAAAUAUCGGUCCUAAUGAUUUUUUUUGUGCGGGGCUGGGCUUUUUUUAUUGAUUAGAAAGAAAUUAAUUCACUGGGGCAACCCUCGUGUUCCGACUCUCACUCCUUCUCUCUUUGCUCUCUCUCUCUCUCUCUCUCUCUCUCUGUACCCCUGUCCUCAUCUUCCCUUGCUCCUUUGCUCCGUGGACGAAUAGCGUCGUGUCUUCUCGCCUGCUCUGCAUGUUGUAUUAUCGCGGGAAUAUUUGAUUCGGAAUAUGCUCUGUGUUAUGCAUAUGCGGAAGUCUCGCCACAGCUCCUGUGCACCUGCAAUGCUUUCUCUCGUCACCUGCGAAUGCCAUUGCACAUGAUUUGCCUCAUAUCUACGGUGUGAGUGAACGUGUGUGUGUGUGUGUGUGUGUGGUGUUGUUGUUGUUGUCGUCGUCGUCGUUGCUGCUGAAUGCAGUGUCCUCAUAUUUUUGGUGUUCUUUGCGCGUGAUGCCGCUCACGUUUGACUUCAUGCACAGCUGGCAGCAUGGAGCUUUGGCUCGAAGGGAAGAACCGAUGCCCAAACAGAGACAGCGAUGUAGACUCCAUUGUCCUGUGGUUCAGUCGUUCUCCUCUUUGUCGUUUGAUUUCUUAUUGUGAAAGGCCGUGGUUGAUUUAAGAGGCUCUUUACGCACAGGUGGGUGUGCCGCGCCGCCCGGGCGGUGUGUGUGUGUGUCUGUGUGUGUGUGUGUGUGUGUGUUCAUAGGCAACCUGUGUCUUAAUUGGUGCAUAAUGUCGCCUGUACGACGGCGGUUUACGGCCGAGUCCACCCCGCGCUCCGAGGGUUGUAAUCAAUGUUGUCGACACUCGCUCGUCGGCACCCAGAUGCCCGCAGACAGCACAACAACACCUCGAGCUCGGCGAGUGCUGAUCGGCCGCAGAAGGGAAAUCGAUGGACAGACUGAGUUAAUUAUGAGAAAAUCAAUUAAGAGGAGGGGGGAUCCACGGCCUUUAUAAGGCCGAGCAGGGAGCCGCAGCCGCCAGAGGAGAGGAGGAGAGCGGUCAGUGGACACCUCCCUCCCAGCCGAGGCGCUCUGCCCGGCCGCUGCGCUGCCGGCACGCUGCUGCCCCGAUGACUGUGCAGCACACUGCUCCGCGGUGGCCCCCUGCCACGUUGACGGAACGCGUGGCAGCGUCCCUGCAUCCCAUCAUUUACCACCAAAAUCUCCUUUAAACGCCUGUCGCUUAAUACCUGCGGUAGCAUUUGGUGCUGACAAUGUGCCGACCGCGUUUGGUCCUUAAAUUCCCAUCGCUUGGUUCAAACGUGGCUUCCAAACACGAGGGUGUCCUUUCUGCUUAACCUUUACGCACAAUUAAAACGAUGCACACACCACAAGGUCAUGGCCAGGGCUCAAUUGUGCCUCAUCUGACCUCAACACGGUGACCCUCACAUGCUCAUGAAUAAAUAUGUUAAGGAGGGAAAUUAUUUUUUCUAUUUUUGUUAAGUUUUCUGAUUACACUGCCCCAAGGUUACAUCUUAGAUCGUGUGAUGUAAAUACCCUAAUCGGGACAUUGGGUCUUUGCACAGCUCGUCCAAGUUUGUAGGAUAAUUUGAAACUGGGAAUUUGUGACGUCUCU
ensembl:lncRNA